rnacentral:lncRNA from 1 species
ACAAGGAUGCUCAUAUGAAAGAGCUUUCACUGGCAACACUUCGCCGACGUGCGUAUCGGUCAGCCAGAAAUGAAUCAAGCAAAGAAACUGCUGCCUCCCCAUUAGAAGCAAAGGUGUUGCCCCAUGCACCUGUCAGCACGACCACCUUGGACGAUCUCCCAUCCCCUGACAGCAACAGCAUGGACCAAAUAAGUGACAAAAGAAAUAUGGUAAUUUCUUUUUGUAUAUGUAUGUG